rnacentral:rRNA from 1 species
CGUGUAGGCUGUUGGUUAAGUCUUGUGUGAAAUCCCUCGGCCCAACCGAGGAAGUGCAUGGGAAACUAACUAGCUAGAAGUCGGUAGAGGAAGGUGGAAUUCCAAGUGUAGAGGUGAAAUUCGUAGAUAUUUGGAGGAAUACCGGUGGCGAAGGCGGCCUUCUGGACCGGUCUUGACGCUGAGACGCGAAAGCGUGGGUAGCAAACA